AGUGAACGCUGGCGGUAGGCCUAACACAUGCAAGUCGAACGGCAGCACAGUAAGAGCUUGCUCUUACGGGUGGCGAGUGGCGGACGGGUGAGGAAUACAUCGGAAUCUACUUUUUCGUGGGGGAUAACGUAGGGAAACUUACGCUAAUACCGCAUACGACCUACGGGUGAAAGCAGGGGAUCUUCGGACCUUGCGCGAUUGAAUGAGCCGAUGUCGGAUUAGCUAGUUGGCGGGGUAAAGGCCCACCAAGGCGACGAUCCGUAGCUGGUCUGAGAGGAUGAUCAGCCACACUGGAACUGAGACACGGUCCAGACUCCUACGGGAGGCAGCAGUGGGGAAUCUUGGACAAUGGGCGCAAGCCUGAUCCAGCCAUACCGCGUGGGUGAAGAAGGCCUUCGGGUUGUAAAGCCCUUUUGUUGGGAAAGAAAAGCAGCAGGUUGAUACCCCGCUGUUCUGACGGUACCCAAAGAAUAAGCACCGGCUAACUUCGUG
rnacentral:rRNA from 1 species